AACGUAGGACACAAGCGUUAUCCGGAAUUACUGGGCGUAAAGGGCGUGCAGGCGGUUGGGUAAGUUAGGCGUGAAAGACUUCGGCUAAACCGGGGGAGGUCGUCUGAUACUGCUCAACUUGAGUAUGGUAGAGGCGUGUAGAAUUCCGGGUGUAGUGGUGAAAUGCGUAGAGAUCCGGAGGAAUACCAGUGGCGAAGGCGGCACGCUGGGCCAUUACUGACGCUAAGACGCGAAAGCAUGGGUAGCGAACGGG
rnacentral:rRNA from 1 species